GCUGUGUGCUGAUGCUAAUUAAACAUUAUGUUGUGUUUAUCAGAUAAUUCAGGGAUUGAUGCAUCUCAGUGCCUUCACGUACAACGUGGUGGACACCAUUUACUUAAUGGAUUAUUACACCGCAGGUGUACUUUUAUUUGGUGACAGAGCUACUACACGUCGCCACACUUUACCUAAGGUAAACUUUGAUAACUUUGACGGAAUCCUGUCAUUUGUCCACGUGAACAAAAAUCACUGGAACAUGCUGUACAUUCAUGCAAAGUCUGGUACUGUGUACCAAAUGGAUCCCUCACCAGCAUCCUCUGAGCUUGAGGACUCUACCCAUGCGGCUCAGAGACUACAGGAAUACUUGAAGACUAGAAAACAUCAGGGGAAAACUGACUGGGUGGAUGUGAAGUGGAAAGGAGGAGUGAUGCCCCACCCAGUGCAAAGGGAUGGUUGCAGCUGUGGUGUCAUUGUUGUUGAAAUGGCCAGAGCAGUGAUGGAAGCCUUCCCUGAGUUCCCCAAAAUGAACUUCUCAACAAAAAGGAGAGCCAUGGAAGAGGCGAGGAGAGAUAU